rnacentral:miRNA from 8 species
AGGUUAUCCGUGUUGUCUUCUC